UAAACAGGCACCGAUCCAGGAUUCUUCUUCUUCUUCCGUCUCACGCAGACGUUUCUGCAAAACAUCAUCUUUUAUCGCCUCCUCCUCCUCAAUGCAUCGCAACAAAGGGAGGAAAAUUAAGAGCGAUCAAUAGCAACGUUAUAAUCAGGUCUUCGACGAGAAAUUAUAAGGAUCCGAUUCGGAAAUCGGAAUUGCGCAAAGACUCGAAUGUUCAAGGGUUCGUCUUCUUCGUCCUCAAAGCUUGUUUUUCCUUCCGUUUCUGUUAAUUUUCUGUUGAUUUGGUUAAUUAAAUAAUUAAUGCAUUUAAUUAGAACAGUAAUAUCAAAAUUUUAAUUAACCAUAUUUAUAACGGAAGCCCAUUAUUAGUUGUUUGCAUUCGCAUUAAAAACCCUCUACUAGCAUGCGACUAAUUGGUAUCUAAAAUUCCUUGGUCGAUCGGUUUAGCUAUUUCGAUUCAGUUCAAUUUUGGUUUAGUUCAGUUCGAUUUCAUACCAGAAAACUCCAUACCUUAACAUCGACGACAAACAUGAAAAUCUCCAUGACUCUUCUCAUCCGCACUCUUCACAAAACUCGUAUUUCUUGUUGUAUUUUCUCAAGAACCAUCUUGUUCCCCAUGUUAAUUUUUGUUGUCAAUCCCUCAAUCAUGAGAUAUCACACCACCUCCAACGCAGCGAUCACAUCAGUGAAUUCGUCAUUUCGAUUAAACAUCCUUUGAAUCAUAAGAAACGAGAUCGAGUACCAAUCCGAUUAUGAUCCUCUUCAUCGGGUAUUAAAUCAUUGUGAUCAUCGAAUUCGAGUGACUGUUAGAUUGAUGACGAAGAGAUAUUAGCGGUAAUAAUUUGUUUUAUUAGCGGAAUGAUUUGGCGGUAAUGAUUUGACUACUAAUUUGCAUUAGAAUUUGUCUUUUAUUUUUCAAUGCAUCGCAUUGCAUGUUGAUGUUUUAAAAAAAAACGUCGAUAUGUUUUUUUGUAUCGAUCGAUGCCAGAAUCUUAAUUUCAAAGAGAUACUAUGAUGUUACUGGCCGACGUGGCCGUAUGCAAGACACAAAGGAGAAUCUCAAUCUACUGGCUGAGAUACAUGCGCCAGGAGGCUACGUUGUGAUACCUCCUGCCUUCUUUACCCAGAAACGAAUAUUAAGUGUCUAGAUACAUCGUUGAUCAAUAUUAUUUUAUGAUUUUUAAUCUUUGAUUGAUUGAUGAGAUGAUCGAGAGUUCUUCACUGUUUCAAGAUUGAUCGACACCAUUAUUGGAUUAAGAUUAAAAUGAUGGAGUGUUACCAUUAGUAUUAGUUAUGAUAACUUGAUCGAUUUGUGAUUGGACUGAUAGUUAACUAUGAUUCUGAAGAUUAUGUGUUUUGGUGAUUGAUUUUAUAGUAUUAUUGGAUAAAAGAGGGUUAUGAUUACUGUGAUGAUGAUUUUUGUGAUUACUAGGAUGAUUAUUUGUUUUUGUGAUUAAUGGGAUGAUUAUUAUUUUGAUUAGUGGGAUGAUGAUCGAUAGUCAUUUUUGUGAUUAGUGGGAUGAUUCUUGUUUUUUUAUCGAAAGUGGGAUGAUUCUUGUAUGUUUUCUUUUGAAAGAUCAUAGCAGUAUCCCAACUUUCCUCCGGAGAAUGUUCCGAGCUCCGUCGGACUUCACCACCGCACGUACGCCACUCUUCUUCCCAUCCGCACUCUUCGCAAAACUUGUAUUCCUCGUUGUAUUUCCUCAAGAACCCUCUUGUUCCCAAUGUUAAUUUUUGUUGCUAACCCCUCAAUCACGAGAUAUAACCACCUCCAACGCAGCGAUCGCAUCAGCGAAUUCGUCCUUCCAAUUAAACAUCCUCCGAAUGAUAAGGAACGAGAUCAAAUAUUAAUCCGAUUAUGCUCCUCCUCAUUUGGUUUUUUUUUUUUUUUUUGACUAAAGGCUUUCAAUUUAAAAAACAUAACUAUUACGAGAUAAGACAAGAAGUCUUAUAGUUUGGAGAAUUUUCAUCUCAUCUUUCCGACCAAACUUAACCACUUAGUGUAAUAAAUCCAAAUUCAUGUUAUCGAGAAUUAUCAGACAUCAUCUUUCUAAGCUGUUUUUCUUUUCCUAAUUCAAUGUUAGAAUCCGACAAAAGAUUUUAUUUUUAUUCUGAACUAUUUAAUCUCAUGACAACCUCAAGAACAAUCAAACACAUAAUUGUAGGAAAAAAAAACACAAAGAUCAUGGAUAAAAACAGAACCUUCAAGACCAGAGUGAUAGAUUCCGAUUCCGAGCCAAUAACCGUAAACAUUCAUAGGGGUGAGAUCGUAAACAUUGAGAUAAACAGGCACCGAUCCAGGAUUCUUCUUCUUCUUCCGUCUCACGCAGACGUUUCUGCAAAACAUCAUCUUUUAUCGCCUCCUCCUCCUCAAUGCAUCGCAACAAAGGGAGGAAAAUUAAGAGCGAUCAAUAGCAACGUUAUAAUCAGGUCUUCGACGAGAAAUUAUAAGGAUCCGAUUCGGAAAUCGGAAUUGCGCAAAGACUCGAAUGUUCAAGGGUUCGUCUUCUUCGUCCUCAAAGCUUGUUUUUCCUUCCGUUUCUGUUAAUUUUCUGUUGAUUUGGUUAAUUAAAUAA
rnacentral:lncRNA from 1 species